rnacentral:rRNA from 1 species
UGGGGAAUAUUGGUCAAUGGGCGCAAGCCUGAACCAGCCAUCCCGCGUGCAGGAAGACGGCCCUAUGGGUUGUAAACUGCUUUUCCAGGGGGAGAAUUUUUCUGUCGUGACAGGAAUUGACGGUACCCUGGGGCUAAGCAUCGGCUAACUCCGUGCCAGCAGCCGCGGUAAUACGGAGGAUGCGAGCGUUAUCCGGAUUUAUUGGGUUUAAAGGGUGCGUAGGCGGAUUGAUAAGACAGUGGUGAAAACCUGCAGCUUAACUGUAGACUUGCCGUUGAUACUGUCAGUCUUGAGUGUGGUCAAGGUAGGCGGAAUGUGUAAUGUAGCGGUGAAAUGCUUAGAUAUUACACAGAACACCGAUUGCGAAGGCAGCUUACUGGGCCAUUACUGACGCUGAUGCACGAAAGCGUGGGGAUCGAACAG